rnacentral:rRNA from 1 species
UACGUAGGGGGCAAGCGUUGUCCGGAUUUAUUGGGCGUAAAGAGCGUGUAGGCGGCCAUACAGGUCCGUUGUGAAAACUGGAGGCUUAACCUCCAGACGUCGAUGGAAACCGUAUGGCUAGAGUCCGGAAGAGGUAAGUGGAACUGCGAGUGUAGAGGUGAAAUUCGUAGAUAUUGGGAAGAACACCCGUGGCGAAGGCGGCUCUCUGGUACGUGACUGACGCUGAGACGCGAAAGCGUGGGGAGCGAACAGG